AGCCUCAUUCUAGAUGAGAAUGGGCACUAUUGAUUGGCUAAAAUUGAGACACAGGUCAUGCUUCCAUCACAGUAAACAUAUUACAGUGGUGACAAUGAGACCUGUAACACUG
ensembl:snoRNA